CAGGGGCUGUGUGCACCAUGGCCUGGACUCCUCUCCUCCUCGUGCUCCUCUCUCACUGCACAGGGUCCUGGGCCCAGGCUGUGCUGACUCAGCCGCCCUCAGUGUCUGGGAACCCAGGACAGACCGUCACCAUCUCCUGCACUGGAAGCAGCACCAACAUCGGGGGUGGUAAUUAUGUAUACUGGAACCAACAGUUCCCAGGAAAACCCCCUAAAACCGUCAUCUAUUAUACUAGCAGCAGACCCUCAGGGAUCCCGGACCGAUUCUCUGGAUCCAGGUCUGGCAGCGUCGGCACCCUGACCAUCAGUGGGCUCCAGGCUGAGGACGAGGCCGACUAUUACUGCUCAGCAUGGGAUGACAGUAGUAACAGUGCUCCCACAGUGCUGCAGGGGCGUGGGGAAAGCUGCCACCUUGUCAUUGGCCCUCUCUGUGAACCCCUGUCCCUGUAG